CACGUAGGGCGCAAGCGUUGUCCGGAAUUAUUGGGCGUAAAGAGCUCGUAGGCGGUCUGUUACGUCUGCUGUGAAAACCCGGGGCUUAACCCUGGGCUUGCAGUGGAUACGGGCAGACUAGAGGCAGGUAGGGGAGAAUGGAAUUCCCGGUGUAGCGGUGAAAUGCGCAGAUAUCGGGAGGAACACCGGUGGCGAAGGCGGUUCUCUGGGACGGUAUUGACGCUAAGGCGCGAAAGCGUGGGGAGCAAACAGG
rnacentral:rRNA from 1 species